AAAACUGGUAAAAUGUGAUGUACCUAGUAGUAUUAGUAAUUAAUACGAGAUUAACAAAGUUAAUUAAAAUUCGAAGUAGAUAUUGAUUAUGACAGUAUUUGCUAAUGUCUUGACCAAGUCACGUGCCAGCAGUCGCGGUAAUACGUGGAAGAUUAGUGUUAUUCAUCUUUAAUUGGUUUAAAGGGUACCUAGACGGUUAAUCAAACACAAAUAUGUAUUAAUUAACUAGAGUUUAAUAUAAGAAAGAUUGAGUACGGUGAGUGUAGAGAUAAAAUUUUGUGAUACCACCUAGGAACUGGUAAAGGCGAAGGCAACUUUCUAUGUAAAAACUGACGUUGAGGGACGAAGGCUUGUAUUAAAUAACAGGAUUAGAUACCCUAGUAUUGUGAGCAGACAAUGAUGAGUGUCAUAUGCAAUAAAUUUUUUGUGUAUAAAUGAAAGUGUAAGCAUUCCACCUCAAGAGUAACGUGGCAACACGGGAAUUGAAAUCAUUAGACCGCUUYUGAAACUCGUAGUGAAGUAUGUUGUUUAAUUUGAUGAUCCGCAAAAAACCUUACCACAAUUUGAAUUACUACAAAACUGCAUUUUUUUUUUGCAUGUUGUAGCAACAAGCGUUGCACGGCUGUCUUCAGUCAAUGUUGUGAAACUGUGGUUAGAUCCAUAUAAUUGACGUAAACCCUUACUUUAUUUAUUAUAAAGUAGUUCGCCGCUAUAU
rnacentral:rRNA from 1 species